GAUGAAGAACGUAGCGAAAUGCGAUAAGUAAUGUGAAUUGCAGAAUUCAGUGAAUCAUCGAAUCUUUGAACGCACAUUGCGCCCCCUGGUAUUCCAUGGGGCAUGCCUGUUCGAGCGUCAUUUGUACCUUCAAGCCUUGCUUGGUGUUGGGUGUUUGUCUCGCCUCUGCGCGCAGACUCGCCUCAAAACAAUUGGCAGCCGGCGUAUUGAUUUCGGAGCGCAGUACAUCUCGCGCUUUGCACUCAGAACGACGACGUCCAAAAGUACAUUUUUACACUCUUGACCUCGGAUCAGGUAGGGAUACCCGCUGAACUUAAGCAUAUCAAUAAGCGGAGGA
rnacentral:misc_RNA from 1 species